CAGUGCCGUUGAUACUGUAGGGCUAGGAUUUGGUUGCUGUGGGUGGAAUGUGUGGUGUAGCGGUGAAAUGCUUAGAUAUCACACAGAAUAUCGAUUGCGAAGGCGGGUAACUGGACUGCAACUGACGCUGAGGCGCGAAAGUGUGGGGAGCAAACAGGAUUAGAUACCCUGGUAGUCCACACGGUAAACGAUGAAUGCUAGGUGUAGGAGGUAUCGACCCCUUCUGUGCCGCAGUUAACACAAUAAGCAUUCCGCCUGGGGAGUACGGUCGCAAGAUUAAAACUCAAAGGAAUUGACGGGGGCCCGCACAAGCAGCGGAGCAUGUGGUUUAAUUCGACGCAACGCGAAGAACCUUACCAGGUCUUGACAUCCAGUUAAAGCUGUUGAAAGAUAGUGUCCCUUCGGGGGAACUGAGACAGGUGGUGCAUGGUUGUCGUCAGCUCGUGUCGUGAGAUGUUGGGUAAAGUCCCGCAACGAGCGCAACCCUUGUCAUUAGUUGCCAUCAUUUAGUUGGGCACUCUAAUGAGACUGCCGGGGACAACUCGGAGGAGGGUGGGGAUGACGUCAAAUCAUCAUGCCCCUUAUGUUCUGGGCUACACACGUGCUACAAUGGCCGGUACAGAGAGACGCAAUGUCGCGAGGCGGAGCAAAACUCUAAAACCGGUCCCAGUUCGGAUUGCAGGCUGCGCUCGC
rnacentral:rRNA from 1 species